AUUGAACGCUGGCGGCAGGCCUAACACAUGCAAGUCGAGCGAGCGGCGGACUGGUGAGUAAUGUCUUGGGAUCUGCCCGAUAGAGGGGGAUAACUACUAGAAACGGUGGCUAAUACCGCCUACUCUCGUAUGGACCCAUAUGGGAUUAGCUAGUAGGUGGGGUAAAGGCUCACCUAGGCGACGAUCUCUAGCUGGUCUGAGAGGAUGAUCAGCCACACUGGGACUGAGACACGGCCCAGACUCCUACGGGAGGCAGCAGUGGGGAAUAUUGCACAAUGGGCGCAAGCCUGAUGCAGCCAUGCCGCGUGUAUGAAGAAGGCCUUAGGGUUGUAAAGUACUUUCAGCGGGGAGGCGUUACCCGCAGAAGAAGCACCGGCUAACUCCGUGCCAGCAGCCGCGGUAAUUC
rnacentral:rRNA from 1 species